GUAUGGUGCAAGCGUUAUCCGGAUUUACUGGGUGUAAAGGGAGCGUAGAUGGAUAGGCAAGUCUGGAGUGAAAGCCCGGGGCUCAACCCCGGGACUGCUUUGGAAACUGUUUAUCUAGAGUGCUGGAGAGGUAAGUGGAAUUCCUAGUGUAGCGGUGAAAUGCGUAGAUAUUAGGAGGAACACCAGUGGCGAAGGCGGCUUACUGGACAGUAACUGACGUUGAGGCUCGAAAGCGUGGGGAGCAAACAGGAUUAGAUACCCUGGUAGUCCACGCCGUAAACGAUGACUGCUAGGUGUCGGGUGGCAAAGCCAUUCGGUGCCGCAGCUAACGCAAUAAGCAGUCCACCUGGGGAGUACGUUCGCAAGAAUG
rnacentral:rRNA from 1 species